rnacentral:rRNA from 1 species
UACGUAGGUGGCAAGCGUUGUCCGGAAUUACUGGGCGUAAAGCGUGCGCAGGCGGCUUUGCAAGACAGAUGUGAAAUCCCCGGGCUUAACCUGGGAACUGCAUUUGUGACUGCAUGGCUGGAGUGCGGCAGAGGGGGAUGGAAUUCCGCGUGUAGCAGUGAAAUGCGUAGAUAUGCGGAGGAACACCGAUGGCGAAGGCAAUCCCCUGGGCCUGCACUGACGCUCAUGCACGAAAGCGUGGGGAGCAAACAGG